UACGUAGGGGGCUAGCGUUGUCCGGAAUCAUUGGGCGUAAAGCGCGUGUAGGCGGUCCGGUAAGUCCGCUGUGAAAGUCGGGGGCUCAACCCUCGGAUGCCGGUGGAUACUGUCGGGCUUGAGUACGGAAGAGGCGAGUGGAAUUCCUGGUGUAGCGGUGAAAUGCGCAGAUAUCAGGAAGAACACCCGUGGCGAAAGCGGCUCUCUGGAACGGUACUGACGCUGAGACGCGAAAGCGUGGGGAGCGAACAGG
rnacentral:rRNA from 1 species